rnacentral:tRNA from 2 species
GCCCCCAUCGUCUAUCGGUUAGGACACGGGCUUUUCAUGCCUGUAAGAGGAGUUCGACUCUCCUUGGGGGUGCCA